AACGAACGCUGGCGGCAUGCCUAACACAUGCAAGUCGAACGAGACCGUCGGGUCUAGUGGCGCACGGGUGCGUAACGCGUGGGAACCUGCCCUUAGGUUCGGAAUAACUCCCCGAAAGGGGUGCUAAUACCGCAUAAUGUCUUCGGACCAAAGAUUUAUCGCCUUUGGAUGGGCGCGCGUUGGAUUAGCUAGUUGGUAGUGUAAAAGCCUACCAAGGCGACGAUCCAUGGCUGGUCUGGGACGAUGAUCAGCCACAAUGGAGAUGAGACACGGCCCAGACUCGUACGGGAGGGAGGAGUAGGGAAUAUUGGAGACUGGGGGAAGACCUGAUACAGCAAUGCCGCGUAAGAGGUGAAGGCGUUAGGGUUGUAAAGCUCUUUUACCCGGGAUGAUAAUGACGGUAACGGGAGAAUAAGCGCCGGCUAACUCCGUG
rnacentral:rRNA from 1 species